rnacentral:rRNA from 1 species
GACGAACGCUGGCGGCGUGCCUAAUACAUGCAAGUCGAGCGCAGCGGCGGAUGGGUGAGUAACGCGUGGGUAACCUGCCCUUAAGUCUGGGAUACCAUUUGGUAACAGCUGCUAAUACAGGAUACGAAAGGAUGGUCCUGCGAUGCAUUAGCUAGUUGUUAAGGUAACGGCUUACCAAGGCGAUGAUGCAUAGCCGAGUUGUGAGGCUUAUCGGCCACAUUGGAACUGAGACACGGCCCAAAUUCCUACGGGAGGAAGCAGUAGGGAAUCUUCCACAAUGGACGAACGUCUGAUGGAGCAACGCCGCGUGAGUGAGGAAGUUUUUCGGAUGGUAAAGCUCUGUUGUUAGUGAAGCGGUAAUUAACCAGAAAGUCACGGCUAACUACGUGCCAGCAGCCGCGGUAAUUC